GCUAACUACAAUUUUCUAAUGUAAUUUGGAAUCAGUAACAGAUUACAAUUUGUGAGUAACUACUCAGCUCUGUCUGUGAAACAGGACCAUAAUGUUUGGGCAUUGUCUAUAAUGUUUUGAAAUGUGUUUUUAUUUUUAAAGUGAACAGGUUAUCCAUCGGUGGAGGACACACACUAAAGAAAACAAUAUGGAGAAUAUGCUCCAAGGUGUUUGGUCCUGUAGCCAAACAGCUGAACUGGUGUGGUAGGGGAGAAAAGCGAGGGAUCAGGAAAACAAACAUAGGAGCACUCCUAAUAGGAGCAGCUAUGAAGAAUCCCGUGCUUCCGUCGUCAACUGAAGCAGAGGCUGAAAAACACAUUAAGGAUUAUCUCCGCUUGGCCCCAGGGAGAAUGCCUCGUUAGUCAACUUGCUUUUUUGUUGUUUGUUUGUUUGGUUCAGGAUUAAAAUAAUAAUAAUAACAAUAACAUAAACGACUGCUUAUUUUCAUUCACCGUUAAUAAAAGGAUACAAAUCAUUCAA